UUAAAAUCCUGGGAUGAUGCAAAAUAAGCAAACAUUACAAUAAUCCUUAAGUGAAUAUCACAGCACUUUUUGCAGUUCAAUAUCUGUUUCUAUUCAAUAAUAUGGUAAUGCUACAAAUAAAAAUAUUCUAUUUCUGUUAAUUUUAUUGUAAGCCUGAAGAGGAUGUAAAGUACAUCGAAAACGUUAGACUGUAAUUUAAGCUAAUAAAUUUUGGUUUUGAUAUUGAACUGCAAGAAGUGCUGAGAUAUUAACUUAAGGAUUAAAAGUCUAUGCAGUAUAAAAUUGAAGUUAGUAAUGGAGCUGAGCCAGCAGUUGCCGAGGAUUAAAAAUGAAUAUUUUAAAUAGCUAUGAAGACAGUAAAAGCUAAGGAGACCUUAAUGUUCUUGAAGGAAUGCAAACUUAACGAAGUGUUACCUACCUCAAUAUUUAAGAUUAGGCUAUCAGUUAAAUCUAAGAGUGUCUUAAGGAGACAAACCAAAUAUGCUUAAAAUUGGCAAUUACAGACGCCAAAAGGGUGUUCUAUAAGCGUAGGAAAGAACUGGUAGAACUUGAGUUCAAAUGUGAGCAAGUGGAAGAAUGGGACUUUAUAAGUUUAGUAAGGGAACGAAUGAGGAAUCUGAAUGCAAAACUAAGAAUGCAACAUGUUAAAAAGUUUAAAUGGAUUCUAAGAAAACAAUUACCGUUAAAAGGCAAGAGAAAUUUUGAUCUAGAUGAGGUGAUGACGAUAAUAGGGGAUGUUCAGCUACCAGCUUUUGCAAAGAGAAUUCUGGAAAAAGGCCCGUCUUGUGCGUUUCCAAAUUGCUCGACAAUCUUGGAUGAUAUACCUAUUUUUGAGAGUUUAAUUAAGGAUAAGGAUAAUUUACAGAAAAAAUAUCUCAGAUGGGAGUUUGUGUGACAAAAACGUAAAGAUUUGAAUAGGACGAGAAAGCUAGAGGCUAGGGGAGAAUGGAAUGAUGUUAAAAAGAUGAUAGAAUGGAUGAAACAAAAUGAUUUAAUCAUAACCAGAGAGGAUAAGACAAGAAAGAUGGUGCUGUUAAAUAAGGAGCAUUAUGAUGAAUUCCUCAAUGGAUAUAUAGCGGAGUCUAAAGCUAUAGAACUUAAUAAAGAUCCAACGAAAGGAAUUGAGAUUGAAGGUUAGUAGGAUUGUUAAACAUAAAAAGUUCCUACAAGUAUGGAAAGUAAGGAAGCAGGAGGCACCCACAUGUCCAAGGAUCUUUGCUUAUGUCAAAGUAUAUAAAGUACCUAUUCAAUACAGGCCGAUAGUAGGGAAAAGGUCAGCACCUAUUUAUGAAUUGGAGAGGACGAUUGCAAAUUGGUGUAAUGGAAUACUUGGGAAAACAGACAAUACUGACGUUGUAAUUUUCGUAGAUCUAAGUAAAAUUGGGAGUUUGCAAACUGCGGAAGGAAUGUGGUUAGUUACAUAUGACUUUGAAGCGCUAUACCCAUAUUUACACUUGGAGCAGUUUGGUUACAUUUCUACCGUUUUUUAAUGGAGAACCUUCCACCUGAACAGGCUGAUCCGG
rnacentral:lncRNA from 1 species